CACGGAAACCACGGUGCCGGAUAACGUCCGGCGGCUUCGGGAAACCGGAGUCAGGGAAAGUGCCACAGAGAGCAGACCGCCAAAGGCUUCGGCCCGGCGAAAGGUGAAAGGGUGCGGUAAGAGCGCACCGCGCGGACGGCAACGGACGCGGCACGGCAAACCCCACCGGGAGCAAGGUCGAAUAGGGAUGGCAAGAGGUGACUCAGGGCUGGUUCCGGCCCCGCCGUCCGGGUUGACUGCUUGAGCGUCCGGGCAACCGGCCGCCUAGAGGAAUGAUCGCCCAUCCCCUGUCAAAAGGGGUGG
rnacentral:misc_RNA from 1 species